rnacentral:rRNA from 1 species
GACGAACGCUGGCGGCGUGCUUAACACAUGCAAGUCGAACGGAAAGGCCUCUUUCGGGGGGUACUCGAGUGGCGAACGGGUGAGUAGCACGUGAGUAACCUGCCCUUGACUUUGGGAUAACUUCAGGAAACUGGGGCUAAUACCGGAUAGGAGCUCCUGCUGCAUGGUGGGGGUUGGAAAGUUUCGGCGGUUGGGGAUGGACUCGCGGCUUAUCAGCUUGUUGGUGGGGUAGUGGCUUACCAAGGCUUUGACGGGUAGCCGGCCUGAGAGGGUGACCGGCCACAUUGGGACUGAGAUACGGCCCAGACUCCUACGGGGGGCAGCAGUGGGGAAUAUUGCACAAUGGGUGGAAGCCUGAUGCAGCAACGCCGUGUGCGGGAUGACGGCCUUCGGGUUGUAAACCGCUUUCGCUCAUGACGAAGCUUUGUGUGACGGUAGUGGGUAAAGAAGCACCGGCUAACUACGUG